rnacentral:rRNA from 1 species
AUUGAACGCUGGCGGCAUGCCUUACACAUGCAAGUCGAACGGUAACGCGGGGCAACCUGGCGACGAGUGGCGAACGGGUGAGUAAUAUAUCGGAACGUGCCCAAUAGUGGGGGAUAGCCCGGCGAAAGCCGGAUUAAUACCGCAUGAGACCUGAGGGUGAAAGCGGGGGAUCGCAAGACCUCGCGCGACUGGAGCGGCCGAUGGCAGAUUAGGUAGUUGGUGGGGUAAAGGCUCACCAAGCCGACGAUCUGUAGCUGGUCUGAGAGGACGACCAGCCACACUGGGACUGAGACACGGCCCAGACUCCUACGGGAGGCAGCAGUGGGGAAUUUUGGACAAUGGGCGCAAGCCUGAUCCAGCCAUUCCGCGUGCAGGAUGAAGGCCUUCGGGUUGUAAACUGCUUUUGUACGGAACGAAACGGCGUCUCUCUAAUACAGGGGCGUAAUGACGGUACCGUAAGAAUAAGCACCGGCUAACUACGUGCCAGCAGCCGCGGUAAAGUACUA